rnacentral:rRNA from 1 species
AGAGAGAGACAUGCGCGCAUAUCAAUAAGCGGAGGAAAAGAAACUAACUAGGAUUCCCUUAGUAACGGCGAGUGAAGCGGGAAGAGCUCAAAUUUGAAAUCUUCAAGGUUUUACCUUGACGAAUUGUAGUUUAAAGAAGUGUUUUCCGCUGAAGUUUUGGUAAAAGUUCUUUGGAAUAGGACAUCAUAGAGGGUGAGAAUCCCGUAUUUGACCAUUAUUUUCAGCUUUGUGAUACACUUUCAAAGAGUCGGAUUGUUUGGGAAUGCAGUCCAAAAUGGGUGGUAAAUUUCAUCUAAAGCUAAAUAUUGGCGAGAGACCGAUAGCGAACAAGUACCGUGAGGGAAAGACUGAAAAGAACUUUGAAAAGAGAGUUAAACAGUACGUGAAAUUGUCAAAAGGGAAGCGUUUGACACCAGUGUUGUUUUCCUCGAAAAUCAAUUAAAAAUGGCUCGAUUUUGUAUUGCUUGAGACCUUAAAAGCUCACUGUACAUUUUUCGUGUCUUUUUAAUGCACUUUUCGUUUAACAAGUCAACAUCAGUUUCUUUUGUUGCAAAAGGGUCAUUGGAAGGUGGCUUUCUUUUCGGAGAAAGUGUUUAUAGCCUUUGGCCUCUGCAAUCGGAGAGACUGAGGUCUGCAGCGUAGACUCUUCGGGGUUAGAUACAUUUGUGCUAAGUUAUAGCUUUUUAUAGACAACUUGUUGACUAUAAUUAGUCUUGUAGCUUACUCGCUUAUGCUAUUUUACCUACGCUUAGGAUGUUGAAGAUGUAGCACAUCAU